rnacentral:misc_RNA from 1 species
AAAGUUCUCCUCUUCUAGUGAAUCAGAGUCUGCCAUAUCCGCAUAUUUUAUCCCAUUGAAAGCUUUAAUAAUGCAAUGCACAAGAACCAGCAAAAUAAUAGCAUCUUCUACCUAAUGGGCAUUGGAAACUGUUGAUGAUACCUAAACGUUAAAUUCUACCAGUAAAAUUUUGCAAGGGAACACAGAAAGUUCCUUUCCCUUAGUGUCACAAGUCACAAGCAAGAUUAAGUAUAUUGUAGGCUAAAGCUUCAUUUGCAAGACUGAUCAGAGACUAGAUAACUUGCUAUUACAUCAUCUGGUUGCUUGUGAAGUUUGAUUAAAGUUGCUAGAUAUUGGCUUGUGCCGUGUUUCUAAAUAGUAUGACUGUUGCAGCUUAGCCGAGCGAAUUAAUGGCAGAAUUGGUUGGAGAUCAAUUCCACAGGACAUAAAGUGGUGUAUAAAGGUCAGUAUAAAUUCUAGGACAUUCAAUGAAGUCAAUGAAGAAGAGAAUCCACAUUCAAACUUGAGCCUACAAAGAUUAUUCAUGUGACUAUCAAUAUCAACAGGACUUUCUUCUACCCCUUUAGAGUUUCUAUAAUUUUGGACAAUUGCGCUAUCUUAAAUAGACAGCAUGAAUAUUAUCAAAAUUCUGAACAUUUGCAACUCUUAAUCCCAAAAACAAACAGACAAGCAGAUGCUGCAACGUCCAACUAUACCACUGUUACAACUACAAGACUCUCAUUAGCAAACGCUUAAGAACUCUACUAGUAAAACUCCAU